ACGAACGCUGGCGGCGUGCCUAAUACCUGCCAGUCGCACGAACCGCGACUAGGUGCUUGCACUUGGUCAAGGUGAGUGGCGAACGGGUGAGUAACACGUGGGUAACCUACCUCAUAGUGGGGGAUAACAGUCGGAAACGACUGCUAAUACCGCAUAGGACAUAGGAUCACAUGAUUCUGUGAGGAAAGGUGGCGCAAGCUAUCGCUAAGAGAUGGACCCGCGGUGCAUUAGCUAGUUGGUAGGGUAAAGGCCUACCAAGGCGAUGAUGCAUAGCCGACCUGAGAGGGUGAUCGGCCACAUUGGGACUGAGACACGGCCCAAACUCCUACGGGAGGCAGCAGUAGGGAAUCUUCCGCAAAGGACGCAAGUCUGACGGAGCAACGCCGCGUGAGUGAAGAAGGUCUUCGGAUCGUAAAGCUCUGUUGUUAGAGAAGAACAGCGCAUAGAGUAACUGUUAUGCGUGUGACGGUAUCUAACCAGAAAGCCACGGCUAACUACGUG
rnacentral:rRNA from 1 species